ACAAUGAUAAUUUACGUAAGACCAAUGCAAAGGUAUUUUACAUAGCAACACAUUUUUUUUUAUGUAUUGAUAAAACCUUUAGUUAAAUUAAGUAAACAAACAGUGCAAUAAAAGUCAACUCAUUUUGUAUAAUGUAUGAAAGUAUGUUGUAUAAUGUUAAUGUAUAUUGUACUCUAGAUCUCAAUCUUUUCCCAUCGUUCCUUUCCCAUCCCAUACAAAAAAACGGAGGAAAGCAAACAAAUAUAAUAAGGCAAAACAAAAAAAAGAAAAAAAAAAAAAGAAAACCCCAACACCUUAAACAAAGCCCUUCGUAUGUUCCGCCAUUAUUUCCCCAAAAAGAAGCAAACAACCCACCAAAUCUUCCUAACUUAUCUUCAAUUUCAACAAAUCAGAAAAAAUGGAAAAUAAUAAAAUUCUUGAUCAUCUUGGCGGAAUUAUGAUCCAAAAUAGUGAAAUUUUCAAAACUGAAUUAACCCCAAAAAUUGAGAGGGAAUUUUUUUAUUUUCAUCUGUUAUUCCCUCCUAAAAUUUUCACAAUUAAAAUACAUGUGGUAAAUAAUCCCCUUGUCUAUCCUUUUUUUAAAUUUUCCUCCUAUAAAUUUACACUAAGCAAUCUCAAAAGUUAGAUUUAAAAUAAAUCUUACUACUCGAACUCAGAGAACUCAGACGAAGAAAAUAGCGAUUGGAAGCAGUCGAAUUUGAUUUGUUGGAGUAUUUAUCACCGUCCAAGCUCCAAUAUGUCAAGAUCAGGAGGAAAGGCUCCUUCAAAAGAAAACUACAUAGCUCAAAAUGAGUAUGAAAUACAAAGACUCAGGACAAUUGAAGCUAACAAGACGAGGAUGAAGACUUUGGGCAUAAAGCGCAUUGCCGCUUCUUUGACAAGUUUAGUAGAUAGCUCAAAAGUUAAGAAAAGUAAAGAAAAGUGUAAUGCAUCUCUUGAGAAAGAUAGUGAUUAUGUACCCGAUGAGAAUGAGGAAGUUGAGUAUGAGAAAGAAACUCACAAUGUGACUUCAAAUAAGAAGGUUAAAAUUAAUGAGAACAAAGAAGGGGAUCGAAGGAGCAAUCUCAUUCCACCAAUGUCAAUUGCUAGGUUAUUAUGAUCAAAUAAAAAAAGACAGGCAAGACAAGGAAAUAAAAACGGUGAUAAAACCGGAAGAGGACGAGAUGAAGCGUAACACUCUGGAAACAAUAAUGAUAAUGAUUUGCAAGGUCGAGAAGGUGAUAACAGUUUAGAUCAAACAAGAGAUGACAUUACUUUAAAAAGACAAGAAGAUUUCAACAAUGCAGACAUGAUUAGAAGUUAUGAUGAUGAAAUACCUAUAAAUGAAGGAGAAGACAACAAUGG